GACGAACGCUGGCGGCGUGCUUAACACAUGCAAGUCGAACGGAAAGGCCCUGCUUUUGUGGGGUGCUCGAGUGGCGAACGGGUGAGUAACACGUGAGUAACCUGCCCUUGACUUUGGGAUAACUUCAGGAAACUGGGGCUAAUACCGGAUAGGAGCUCCUGUUGCAUGGUGGGGGGUGGAAAGUUUCGGCGGUUGGGGAUGGACUCGCGGCUUAUCAGCUAGUUGGUUGGGUAGUGGCUUACCAAGGCUUUGACGGGUAGCCAGCCUGAGAGGGUGACCGGCCACCUUGGGACUGCGAUACGGCCCAGACUCCUACGGGAGGCAGCAGUGGGGAAUAUUGCACAAUGGGCGGAAGCCUGAUGCAGCAACGCCGCGUGCGGGAUGACGGCCUUCGGGUUGUAAACCGCUUUCGCCUGUGACGAAGCGUGAGUGACGGUAAUGGGUAAAGAAGCACCGGCUAACUACGUG
rnacentral:rRNA from 1 species